GCCCGGCGGGCGGGUGCGCGGUCGGGCCGGGCCCGGCCCGGCCCGCGGGGCCGCCGCGAGCACGUCGUGAGGCAGCUGGACCGCGUCAAGGGUCACCUUCUGCGUCACAGCAAGAGAACCUUGCACGGCUGAUUCUGCUCGCUGCUCAGGUAAUGGCACGCGUGUGGCUGGGGGAGCGGGGAGACACAUUGGUGAGUUCAGGGAUGCUACAGAUACUCCACAUCGAAGCCAUGGAAAAGGCAACUUUGCUGCCAGUGCAGAAAAGCUGACGAGGAGUUGCAGUGAACAGAGCGUGCCUCCUGCCUGAGCAGGUCCCUCUAAAAAGAAUAUAAGGUCUGUUCUGGAGCACGUUACACAGCCAAAAGCAUUCGCCAAUCUGCUGAUGCUUUUUGAUUGCAGCACCAGGGAUUUGAUUUUCCCCCUGACCCUCGAGAAUAAAACCAUUUGGGCAAUCUCAUAUAUUGCUGAUUUUUCUAUGCAAAAUUAAACUUAAAAAAAAAGGUAACAUUGUAUAAUUUCCCACUGACUUGCAUUGUUUAAAGUGCAACUGCCAAAUAGCUGUAGCAUACAAUGUAUGAGGCAUAUUUAGGCAGUUAAGCGUUUGUUCUGAAGGUUUAAAAAGAGAGGCGACUGAAUGUUACCAGGUUUUCCCCGAUAUUUCGACAGAGUGCUCUGAGGUACUUUAUUUCUGUCUGGCUUUCAGUGGCGCGUUUCCCCAGCAGCCCAGUAGCAUCUCUCUCGGGCAGUGCCCCUGGCCAGAUGUCCCUCCUCCUUGGGUAACACCCAAGAAAACCUGCAGUCAAAUUAUUACUGUGUAUUUUGAAGAUGAGUAGUUUGCUGCUAUGAAUUCGCAGCUGUGCAAGUGAAAUUAGUGCCAGAGGCAAGUCAAAUACUUCUAGAGUAUGAGUAUUUUUACUGGAUGUAUAUAAACAUAGGCUCACCCUUUCACUAUGAAGUGAACGACCGAGCUUUGUUCUUUAUUGUUCCUUUUGCUCUUCAGGGUUUGAUCCGUGCCUCUCAGCUGCAUUGACCCAGCGAGCGAGGUGAGCGGCAGCAGCAGCAUGAGGGCUGUAGGUGCAGUGGUGGGUCCAGCAGUGUCAGUUCUGGUUACGGCCCAGUCUGGUCCUGCCGCCCUGCGGGGUGAUUUCCCUGCGGCCGCGCUGGGAGGAAGGGGCCAGGCGUUUGGCAGCACCAGACAGGGGGGGUGUGUGUG